rnacentral:rRNA from 1 species
AGAGUUUGAUCCUGGCUCAGGAGUGAACGCUAGCUACAGGCUUAACACAUGCAAGUCGAGGGAACGAUAUGGAAGCUUGCUCCGAUAGGCGUCGACCGGCGCACGGGUGAGUAACGCGUAUCCAACCUGCCCACCACUUGGGGAUAACCUUGCGAAAGUAAGACUAAUACCCAAUGAUAUCUCUAGAAGACAUCUGAAAGAGAUUAAAGAUUUAUCGGUGAUGGAUGGGGAUGCGUCUGAUUAGCUUGUUGGCGGGGUAACGGCCCACCAAGGCGACGAUCAGUAGGGGUUCUGAGAGGAAGGUCCCCCACAUUGGAACUGAGACACGGUCCAAACUCCUACGGGAGGCAGCA